CAAUGCGUUUUGUUCAAUGGUGUUUAGUUCCGGAAUCAAUGCUGCUUCAUGUUCUUGUGAAACUGAAUAUUUUUGGUCAACAUAAAUGUGGUUGACUGUCAUAUUCUGAUCCAUUUAAAUCGUCAUUUCCUCUACAAUUCGAUUUGACAGAACCUCUGCAUACAGUGUUGACAACUCGGAGGGUCUAUGUAUUCUGUUGAAAUUCCUUAACAGUUGGAUUGUCGUGAGUUCUUUCAAUUUGGCGCUGACAACCAAAAACUUUCAAGAGGAUCUUGACAUAUGCGCCUGCUAAAGAAGACCUUUACGUCUGGGAGUGUGAAAAGCCUGCCAAUGGCUUCCCAAAAUGGGCCAAAGAGCAAGUAUCCAGUGACAUUUCUACUUG